rnacentral:piRNA from 1 species
UGAGCCUUGUCAGGGUUCUAAAUCCAUGC